UACGUAGGGGGCAAGCGUUGUCCGGAAUCAUUGGGCGUAAAGAGCGUGUAGGCGGUCCGAUAAGUCCGCUCUGAAAGCCCGGGGUUCAACCCCGGGAGGCGGGCGGAUACUGUCGGGCUAGAGUCCGGAAGAGGCAAGUGGAAUUCCUGGUGUAGCGGUGAAAUGCGUAGAGAUCAGGAAGAACAUCGGUGGCGAAGGCGCUCUGCUGGACCAUAACUGACACUCAGGGACGAAAGCUAGGGGAGCGAAUGGG
rnacentral:rRNA from 1 species